rnacentral:rRNA from 1 species
CCUACGGGUGGCAGCAGUGAGGAAUAUUGGUCAAUGGCCGAAAGGCUGAACCAGCCAAGUCGCGUGAGGGAAGACGGCCCUACGGGUUGUAAACCUCUUUUGUCGGGGAGCAAAGCGAGUCACGUGUGACUCAUUGAGAGUACCCGAAGAAAAAGCAUCGGCCAACUCAGUGCCGGCCGACGCGGUAAUACGGAGGAUGCGAGCGUUAUCCGGAUUUAUUGGGUUUAACGGGUACGCAGGGGGAGGUGCAAGUCAGCGGUCAAAUUGCGGGGCUCAACCCCGUACUGCCGUUGAUACUGCAUCCCUUGAGUGCGCGAGAAGUAUGCGGAAUGCGGGGUGUAGCGGUGAAAUGCAUAGAUAUCACGCAGAACUCCGAUUGCGAAGGCAGCAUACCGGCGCGCAACUGACGCUCAUGCACGAAAGCGUGGGUAUCGAACAGGAUUAGAUACCCUUGUAGUC